AUGCAUAAGAAACUGCCCAGUAGUGGGGGAUAGCCCGUUGAAACCCGGAUUAAUACCGCGUACGCCCUUCGGGGGAAAGCGGGGGAUCUUCGGACCUUGCGCUAUUGGAUGUGCAUAUGUCGGAUUAGCUAGUUGGAGGGGUAAAGGCCUACCAAGGCGACGAUCCGUAGCUGGUCUGAGAGGAUGAUCCGCCACUUCGGGACUGAGACGCGGCCCGAACUCCUACGGGAGGCAGCAGUGGGGAAUAUGGGACAAUGGGGGCAACCCUGAUCCAGCCAUGCCGCGUGUGUGAAGAAGGGUUUCGGGCUGUAAAGCCCUUUCAGAGAGGAGGAAGACUCUGCGACUUAUACUCGUAGGGUUUGACGUUACUC
rnacentral:rRNA from 1 species